UCCCGACAAGGGCAAUGCCGGUGAAAACCGGGGGCGCAAAGCCGCGGGCCUAAGGCGCAAGCUAUGGCGGCCGGGGCUGCCGAA
rnacentral:ncRNA from 1 species